rnacentral:tRNA from 1 species
UAGCUCAGUUGGUAGAGCAUGGUGUUUGCAACGCCAGCAUGGUGUUUGCAACGCCAGGGUUGUGGGUUCGAUUCCCAC